UAAGCCCAAAACGUAUAAAAGGGACGGUGCAAAUGGAAUUAGGGUUUCAACCCCAAAAACCUAUUCUUCUCCGUUGGCUCGGUCAUCGAAACGAAACAUGGGGUUCUUUCCAACCCUUUGACGUAGCAUCAAGGUCUGGUCGAUCUAUGCUAGCUGCUGAUUUUCGCUCUUUCACGAAGAACAACGAGUACAAUGAUGGAUCUCCGUUGAAUUCCCUAUGAAAAAAUCGGUUGUGGUUAUAACCCGCAUGAGCCUGUUCUCUCUAACUGUGCUAGAGAACAGCAUAUCAACAAUGAAAAGAAUAUUGCUCCUUCUGUCCCCAACAAACCUCUUUUUAACAUCACUCGUGAGGUUAAAAAUAUCAACCCCAAAUAAGCCUUUGUACCCAAUUCUUAAACAUGGAUUAGUUUCUGUCAAAUGGUUGAAUCAUCUUUUGUUUGUUCGCAGUUCAUGUUUUGUUUAAGCUGUUAUAGACGUCUCUUCAAAUUUACAGGUCAGAUAUUAAGAUUAGGGCAGUGAACGCGAAUAGAAAUUUAAUGAAUUAAACAUGCAAUCAUGUAAUGAGCAGGGAUUCAAAGGAAAAAAAAAGCAAAAUAUCUUAGUAUUUCAAAACAUGAGAAAAGCUCAUUCAUGGAAAACCAGUAACAUAUUAUAAGGUCGAGACUAAACUCAAAAACCAAUAAAAUAAGAAACAGCUUUAAUUACCAAGAGGUGCUUAGUUUCUUCUCUUUAUGGUUAGUGGAUAUUUGACAGAUUUUUCUCCUUUUCUAUGUCAGUACCACUAGAGUUAUGAGAUCUGGUCGCAAGCGAUCAACAACCUUAGGAGUAGGCAGAGAUUGGACACACAAGCUUAUCAAGAAGAUUUCUCCUUCUGUCCCCAACAAACCUCGUUUUAACUUCAUUGAGGUUAAGAUAUCAUUAAAGCCUUUCUGCCUUUGUAACCUAGAUUAGUUUCUGUCAAAUGUUGAUUCAUCUUUUGUUUGUUUGCAGGACAUGUUCUUGAUUACUCAUCGCUCUCAUGGAAUUGUCAAUGAGGAAAUGUAAGACUAUAAGAAAAAAAAUUUGAUUUGUUAUAUUGAGUCUCUGUUUUUUGUUAUUCAGCUGUUGUGGGGUUAACCCACAUGAGCCUGUUCCCUCUAACUAUGCUAGAGCACAUCAUAUCAUGAAUGGAGAUAAGAUUACUCCUUCUGUCAACAAACCUCGUUUAAAAUUUAUUGAGGUUAAGAUAUCAUUAAAGCCUUUGUAACCAAGAUUACUUUCUGUCAAAUGCUUGAAUCAUCAUUUGUUUGUUUGCAGUGCAAGUUCUUGAUUGCUCCUGGAGUUAGCAUCAAGGACUGGAAGUUUAAUGCUGCUAAUUUGUCUUCUGCCAUGAACGAAGAGGACAAGGAUGGAUCUCCUCGUUCUAAUGGAAUUGUCAUGAUAUUUGAGUUUCAUAUUCUAUGAUCUAUACUAUAAUAAUGCUUUUAUUUAUAUACUAGAAUAAGACAUGCAAGGCCAUAAAUAAUUUAAAUUUUUGUUUUGUUAAUCACAUAAUUUGUUUAUUGAUGAGUUGAUUCCAUUUUUAAAAAUAUUUUAGGUCAAAAACUCACUUAUCGCAUAAAAACCUAACAUUUAGGCCGACGAAUCUGAGGCCUACUAUUUGGUUACAAUAAAACAAUGCCAGCUCGAUUUUAUAUCAUGAUUUAGCAAUUUAAAAGUUAACUAGAUUUGGACCCGCACAACCGUGCGGGUACUAAUUUUCAUGUUUUUAUAUAUAUUUUACAUAAUUAGAAUAUAUUUAUAAAGUUACUUAUAUAUUUAAAUGUUUAUAUAUAAUAAUUUGAAUAUAUAACAAUUUGAUAGUUUUCAUGCUGUAAGUUAAUUCAUUAUUUUAAAUCAUCACAUAUAUUUGGUAUUUUUUCUUAUAUAUAUUUUAAAAUUAUUUUUAUUUAAUUAUUAUGAUCCUGAUCCGUAAUUCAAAGCGCUAGAUUUUCUUUAUCAAUAUUUUUUUUUAUGUUUAUUCAUUUAAGAUAAUAACUACAUAUAUAUAUAUAUAUAAAAGUUUAAGAUAAGUUAAAUUUAUACGUGAAUUAACCCGUUCUACUAACAUAUUAUAUUUCUAGCAUAAAUUUUUAAUGUUUGUGAAAAUAAAAUAUAUUAAUUUAUCAGUUUAAAAUAAUUUUAUGAUAUUUAGUUAAAUACAAUGUUUUAUUUUAAAAUGAUAGAUAUAAAUAUAAAAUAGUAAAAUUUGAUAUAAUUUUUUUCAUUUUAUAAAAUAUAACUGAGUAUAUAUAUAUAUAUUAAUGUAUAAUAACAUU